rnacentral:sRNA from 1 species
AUUUAUUCGUUGCAGUUAUGCUUUCAAAUAUGUAUAAAAGGGAAAGCCAAACCCCGAAUUCUAUCAUCGUUUUUGAACGGAAGCUACAAUCAACAUGAAAGUGAUACUGUUCACUGCUGUGCUCGCUGUCUUGGCGUCCAACUGCUUUGCUCAAGAUGGAGCUACUCCAACUCCGCCACCUGAAGUUCCAGCAACUGUAUCCCUACCUAAGCUAAAGCUGCUUCUUGAAAUAUAAAGUUGAUUCAAAUAUUCAUUCAUAA